GACGUAGGGGGCCAGCGUUGUUCGGAAUUACUGGGUGUAAAGGGUUCGUAGGCGGUGUGGCAAGUCGGGAGUGAAAUCUCUGGGCUCAACCCAGAGGCUGCUUCCGAAACUGCUGUGCUUGAGUGUGGGAGAGGCGCGUGGAAUUGCAGGUGUAGCGGUGAAAUGCGUAGAGAUCAGGAGGAACACCGGUGGCGAAAGCGCUCUGCUAGGCCGCAACUGACACUGAGGGACGAAAGCUAGGGGAGCGAAUGGG
rnacentral:rRNA from 1 species